GAACCGUGCGAACGUUGUUCGGAUUCACUGGGCUUAAAGGGCGCGUAGGCGGGCAUUCAAGUCAGGGGUGAAAUCUUUCGGCUCAACCGGAAAAUAGCCUUUGAUACUGGAUGUCUCGAGGGAGGUAGGGGCAUGUGGAACUUCCGGUGGAGCGGUGAAAUGCGUAGAUAUCGGAAGGAACGCCGGUGGCGAAAGCGACGUGCUGGACCUCUUCUGACGCUGAGGCGCGAAAGCCAGGGGAGCAAACGGGAUUAGAUACCCCGGUAGUCCUGGCCCUAAACGAUGGGUACUAGGUUGUGGACUUGACAUGGGUUCACAGCCGAAGCAAAAGUGAUAAGUACCCCGCCUGGGGAGUAUGGUCGCAAGGCUGAA
rnacentral:rRNA from 1 species